GACGGGGGGGGGCAAGUGUUCUUCGGAAUGACUGGGCGUAAAGGGCACGUAGGCGGUGAAUCGGGUUGAAAGUGAAAGUCGCCAAAAAAGUGGCGGAAUGCUCUCGAAACCAAUUCACUUGAGUGAGACAGAGGAGAGUGGAAUUUCGUGUGUAGGGGUGAAAUCCGUAGAUCUACGAAGGAACGCCAAAAGCGAAGGCAGCUCUCUGGGUCCCUACCAACGCUGGGGUGCGAAAGCAUGGGGAGCGAACAGGG
rnacentral:rRNA from 1 species